GGAUGAACGCUGGCGGCGUGCCUAAUACAUGCAAGUCGAACGAAACUUCUUUAUCACCGAGUGCUUGCACUCCCCGAUAAAGAGUUGAGUGGCGAACGGGUGAGUAACACGUGGGCAACCUGCCCAAAAGAGGGGGAUAACACUUGGAAACAGGUGCUAAUACCGCAUAACCAUAGUUACCGCAUGGUAACUAUGUAAAAGGUGGCUAUACUACCGCUUUUGGAUGGGCCCGCGGCGCAUUAGCUAGUUGGUAGGGUAAAGGCUUACCAAGGCAAUGAUGCGUAGCCGAAUUGAGAGGUUGAUCGGCCACAUUGGGACCGAGACACGGCCCAAACUCCUACGGGAGGCAGCAGUAGGGAAUCUUCCACAAUGGGCGAAAGCCUGAUGGAGCAACGCCGCGUGGGUGAAGAAGGUCUUCGGAUCGUAAAACCCUGUUGUUAGAGAAGAAAGUGCGUGAGAGUAACUGUUCACGUUUCGACGGUAUCUAACCAGAAAGCCACGGCUAACUACGUG
rnacentral:rRNA from 1 species